rnacentral:rRNA from 1 species
GACGAACGCUGGCGGCAUGCCUAACACAUGCAAGUCGAACGGAGGUAUGGGCUUCGGCCCAUGCCUUAGUGGCGAACGGGUGAGUAACACGUGAGCAACCUGCCCCGUACUACGGGAUAACACUAAGAAAUUAGUGCUAAUACGGUAUAUGACCACACCGAGGCAUCUCGGAGGGGUAAAAGCGUUUAGCGGUACGGGAUGGGCUCGCGGCCAAUUAGCUAGUUGGUGAGGUAACGGCCCACCAAGGCGACGAUUGGUAGCCGACUUGAGAGAGUGAUCGGCCACACUGGAACUGAGACACGGUCCAGACUCCUACGGGAGGCAGCAGUGGGGAAUAUUGGGCAAUGGAGGAAACUCUUACCCAGCAAUGCCGCGUGAGUGAAGAAGGUCUUCGGAUUGUAAAGCUCUUUGAUUGGGGACGAAUUAAUGACGGUACCCAAGGAACAAGCCCCGGCUAACAUGUGCCAGCAGCCGCGGGUAAAAUAGGCGUACU